AAGCAGCGGAGCAUGUGGUUUAAUUCGUAAGCAACGCGAAGAACCUUACCAGAUCUUGACAUCCAAUUGACCAUCUUUUAAUCGUAGAUUUUGCCUUCGGGUACAAUUGAGACAGGUGGUGCAUGGUUGUCGUCAGCUCGUGUCGUGAGAUGUUGGGUUAAGUCCCGCAACGAGCGCAACCCUUGUGUUUAGUUGCAAACAGGUCAAGCUGUGCACUCUAGACAGACUGCCGUGGACAACACGGAGGAAGGUGGGGAUGACGUCAAAUCAUCAUGCCCCUUAUGAUCUGGGCUACACACGUGCUACAAUGGCCGGUACAACGGGCAGCGAAGGAGCGAUCCGGAGCGAAUCCUAAAAAGCCGGUCCCAGUUCGGAUUGCAGGCUGAAACUCGCCUACAUGAAGUUGGAGUUGCUAGUAAUCGCGAAUCAGAAUGUCGCGGUGAAUGCGUUCCCGGGUCUU
rnacentral:rRNA from 1 species